UAGGAGAAAGAUGCAUCACAACAUCUAAUGC
rnacentral:piRNA from 1 species